AGAGUCCUUCCUUGCUAGUGUUGUCCUGAAGCCCAGGACAUCACUUACCCUGAUGGUGUUUUUCGUCCCAGCCGUCCCAGAUGCGGGCGCAAAGCGGUUGCAAAGCAAAGGGACGCACGCGCGCAGGGAUUUCUUGCGCUGCCUCGAGCAUCUCCCCGCAGUUCACGUUGCCGCAGGCGGUGGUGCACCAUUGGGGACCCCGUUGCUGCCCAGCCCCUCACUGCAGACCCCGGGUUUUGCUGGAGGCUGCUGCUCGCCGAGGAUCCAGGUACUGUUCACGUCCUCCACGAGCAUGAAGCUCUGCUGGGGCAGAGGCACAGACCCACUGCCGUGACGCAGAACCCUGCAGGAGCCAGGGGACAUUUUUCCCUUUCUCCCGUUCCGUUGUUCAGCCUGAGUGCCCCAAAUUCUGCAGGGGGCAGGUACAGUUACCUGCUUCGAGGCCUCAUCCUGGCUCUCACCUCCUUGCCCAGCCUCUGCCCGCCUUGCCAGCACGUCCUCUGCCUCCUGAGCUCAGACAAUUGUCAGCCUGAUUCAUGAAAAGCCCCAGUUUCCAAUAAUCUCCCGUCCUCAGCAUCUGCCGCCCUGUCAUGGUCUCUGACCCUCAUCUCCAACUAAUAUUGAAAUACUGAGUAAUUAAAUUCCUGUUUUCUCCCUAGUAGGUUUGUCCUUUCAGAUGCUUCUGCCUCUAAUUUGAAGGCAAGGCUGCCACGGGUCUCCCCAGCACCAGUUUGCAAAGCUGGGUUUGUCCUGCCUGGAUCCGGUCCCAGCAGCAGCAUCUGCGGGAGCUGCUGGGAUCUGCCGUCCCUCCGGAGCUGCUGCCACAGCAUCUCCCGGGGCUGCCACCAACGGCACCUUUGCUUGAAACCAGUAAUUAAUUUGCAAUGUUGGAAGCAAAACUUCCUAGUGGAGAAGUUUAAUUUCCCUUUGAUUACAUGGUGCGUGUUGCUCGGUGUCUUUGGUGCUUCAGGUGCAGCCACCAGCCUUGCCCCAUCCGUUCCUCCGUGUUUCUUUUUGGAGUUGCAAAAAAGAAAUAAAAUCAAUGAAAAGAAGAAGAUGCCCUGGCUUGGCUCACUGGUGCCGGGUGCAGGGAUGGCAAGUAAUGGCCAAGAACGAGUCGUGUUCCAGACGCAGAGAAGGGUCUUGUUUGUGGACAUGCCCUUCAAAAAACCUCCUGGAGGAGACCAAAAUGCAAGAGCAGGGUGGACCAUACCCCUCCGGGCGCUGCAGCGCUGGCUCGGGGGUGCCGGGGGGUGCAGGGGCCAUGCUCAGCCCUGGGCACCCACAGCAGCAGACGUGGGCAGCCCAUGUCCUUGGACCCAGCUCAGGAUGGGAGUCCCACCCUGGAAAGGUUGGAGAUGGGGAAGAAGAGCAGCCUGGAUGGAUGGGAUGGGCAGAUGAAAGUGAGGAUGAGGAGGGAGGGGCAGGCGAGGGAGAGGGGGCUCUCCAUCCAGCAUCUGAUGAGUUUUUCUUUACCGUUGCUCAGCAUUUGAUGGAUGAUGCUCCGCUGUGAAACGCGCUGUAAUUACUCAGCGGGACAGCAGGGAUUCAUCAGCGGUGAUCAAUAUUCACAGCAUCCAUCGUGCCCGCGGGCAGCCCGACCCACUGCACACGCAGGGGCUGGCACAGACCCACGACCCGCAACGCCGUGUGUGUCCCCACAGACCCCCAGCCCCAUCCCAACCCUUGGGUGCCAUUUGGGGCGAAGCCGUGUACGCCCACAGCAGUCAGGGACCAUGCAUGGGGCUAACGAUGGCGCGAGUGGUUUUGGCACGCGUUGGCGUGUGUGCACACGUACAGGUGCCUAAAAAAGGGAAACAUUAAAACUUCCAGCAUUCUCCUCUUUCACAACCUGGAUCCCUUUUUCUCCCAGUGCUUCACAGCUCCUCCCCAGAGCUUGCACCCAAGGGGCUGGGAAUGGGCAUCUCUUGGCACUUCCCAUGGGAAAAGCACCCUGCAACGGCCGCACCGUCAGCUCCCGGGCAGCAGCGGGUGUGUGGGGAGUCGGCGAGGAGCCAGCUCCAAAACUCGCUGUUCCCAAGCGCAGUUUCAGUGCCCUCGAGUCCGCAGUCCCUGACUGAGGGGUGCACCGAUGCCACGCUGAUGUUAAACUGACACCGUCAAGUGAUUCAGGUCCUGCAUUUAUUGCAGCCCGGUUUAGGAAAGGGAAAAGGGAUUAUUAUUUUUUUUUUCUGAGCAUGCCUGGAAUUUUCAUUCCCCCUCAUUUAUUUAUUCCGUUCUGUCAUUCUGUGGCAAUGGUUAUGAGCAUUUUUUCUUUUAGUGGAGACGUUUUGCAGCGU